rnacentral:rRNA from 1 species
ACGGCUCAGUAACACGUCGAUAAUCUAACCUUAGGUCAGGGAUAAUCUCGGGAAACUGAGUCUAAUACCUGAUAGGAGAAUGAUACUGGAAUGUUCUUUCUCUUAAAUUCGUGCCUAAGGAUGAGUUGGCGGUGGAUUAGGUAGUUGGUGGGGUAACGGCCCACCAAGCCUCAGAUCCAUACGGGCCUUGAGAGAGGGAGCCCGGAGAGGGACACUGAGACACUGGUCCCAGCCCCACGGGGUGCAGCAGGCGCGAAACCUUUACAAUGCACGAAAGUGUGAUAAGGGAACUCAGAGUGCUUAUGUUUAACAUGGGCUUUUGCCAAAAGCAAAAUUUUUGGCGAAUAAGUGGUGGGCAAGACUGGUGCCAGCCGCCGCGGUAACACCAGCGCCACAAGUGGCAAUCCCGUUUAUUGGGCCUAAAGCGUUCGUAGCCGGUUUUGUAAAUUCUCUGUGAAAUUGUAUUGCUUAACUUUACAACGUGCAGGGAAGACUGCAAAACUAGAGACCGGGAGGAGCUUGGAGUAUUCUUGGGGGAGCGGUAAAAUGUUAUAAUCCCUUGAAGACUACCUGUGGCGAAGGCGCCAAGCUAGAACGGUUCUGACGGUGAGGGACGAAAGCCAGGGGAGCGAUCCGGAUUAGAUACCCGUGUAGUCCUGGCCGUAAACGCUGCGAGUUAGGUGUUGCAUAUACCUCGAGUAUGUGCAGUAUCGAAGAGAA